AUGUUUGACGGAGUUGAGCGGAUGCUUCGGGGAGUCAGGCAUGUGCCGGGGCUAAGGAGGAAUCUAAUUUCGCUCGAUGUUCUUCAUGAUGGUGGUAUGGUAUUCCGUUGUGAUCGGGAUAGGAAGACCAUAAGAAUCAUGAAAGAUGAGGUGACCGUGAUGAUUGGAGGGAGGACGGCUUCACAUCUUUACAAACUGCAAGGGAGCACUAUUGCAGGUGGAGUCACGAAGACUGGAGUUGCAGGAGUAGCAGCGGGGUCUCACGGCGGCGGCGGGUCUGGGGCAGACUGUCGAGUAGCUCUCAGUAAGCUCCGAAGAAGACAACACAAGUCCGGAGUACAUGGAAGUUUGACACAUGGACAAAUUCAAGGUGGUGGAGAAUAUUCUCCAAGGUGGAGUUUGUUGUGUUUUUGUGACGAAUAUUUUGUACUAGUUGGGUUACGCUUGGACUUGGUGUUGUAG
rnacentral:rRNA from 1 species